GACCUCAAAUCAGGUAAGACUACCCGCUGAACUUAAGCAUAUCAAUAAGCGGAGGAAAAGAAACCAACAGGGAUUGCCUCAGUAACGGCGAGCGAAGCGGCAAAAGCUCAAAUUUGAAAGCUAGCGUCUUUUAGGCGUUCGCAUUGUAAUUUGAAGAUGGCAACUUUGGUGGCGGCUCUUGCACAUGUUCCUUGGAACAGGACAUCAUAGAGGGUGAGAAUCCCGUACAUGGUGGGAGUACCGUUGCUUUGUAAAGUGCUUUCUAAGAGUCGAGUUGUUUGGGAAUGCAGCUCUAAGUGGGUGGUAAAUUCCAUCUAAGGCUAAAUAUAGGCGAGAGACCGAUAGCGAACAAGUACAGUGAUGGAAAGAUGAAAAGAACUUUGAAAAGAGAGUGAAAAAGUACGUGAAAUUGUUGAAAGGGAAGGGCUUGAGAUCAGUCUUGGCUUGUAGUGAUCAACUGCGUUUCGGCGCUGUGCACUCGCUACUUGCUGGGUCAGCAUCAGUUUUGGUGAUAGGAUAAUAGCAGUUGAAUGUGGCUUUUCUUCGGGAAAGUGUUAUAGCUUCUGUUGAUACUACCAACCGGGACUGAGGACCGC
rnacentral:rRNA from 1 species